GGAUCAAUUAACUGGUCGUGCCUAUGGUACGUACUGGUUUUGUUGGUUUCUCCCUCUGACGAGCCGCGAUGUCAUUAACUUGGUGUCGCGGGGAAUCAGACUGUUACUUUGAAAAAAUUAGAGUGUUCAAAGCAGGCGUAACCUUGCCAUUGAAUAUUACAGCAUGGGAUAAUAGAAUAU
rnacentral:rRNA from 1 species